rnacentral:lncRNA from 10 species
AGGGUGCCCAAGGCUUUGCAAUGGAGUGUAUCAUCCCAGGUUCAUCUGUCGACUGGGUGAGCUUCAUAUAUGAGCCUACAGGCAAUAGGGAGGCCCAAGGAGAGAGAGAGACAUGGGGAAACAGCCAGUCUGUGGAGCGUCAGAACGUACGUCGACGUCGCACUGACAGAUUAAGUUUGUCGUCUUAUAAAAAGACCUGGACAUCAGUGAGAAAGGUGGAGUAAGGGCCUACAGAAAACUGCUCCUCCAUAAAAGCAAUGAGAACACUGGCAAAAAUUGUAAAUAUCAUCUUUUUAAGAAUAUGGGAAAUUAACCAGAUGCUUGCAAAAUCCAAGGAAUGUUUAUUAAAAAAAAAAAAAAAAACUAAGGUUUGUGGUGUUUUAAUGCACCCUAAUCCCAUGGUCCUUUCCUAAGAUCUGA